rnacentral:rRNA from 1 species
GACAGGGGUCUCGAGCGUUAAUCGGAAUUACUGGGCUUAAAGGGUGCGUAGGCCGGCCCGCAAGUGACUUGUGAAAUCCCCCGGCUCAACCGGGGAACAGCUCGUCAUACUGCGGGUCUUGAGGAAGGUAGGGGUUGCCAGAACUGUAGGUGGAGCGGUGAAAUGCGUAGAUAUCUACAGGAAUGCCGAUGGUGAAGACGGGCAACUGGGCCUUUACUGACGCUGAGGCACGAAAGCGUGGGGAGCAAACAGG